rnacentral:rRNA from 1 species
CUAAUAACCUGCUCAUGANAUAUUUAAAUAGCCGCAGUAAUUUAACUGUGCUAAGGUAGCAUAAUCAUUAGUCUCUUAAUUAGGGACCAGAAUGAACGGUUUAACAUUCUUUUCACUUUUUUAAAUAUAUUUAUAUAAAUUAUACUAAAUAUAAAAAUAUAUUUAUUUAAAAACUAGACGACAAGACCCUUUCAAACUUUACUUAAGUUAAGCUGGGGAAGCUAUUUAAUUAAAAUCUUAAAAAAUUAAUAAAUAAACAGACCUAGAAAAACUAAUUUUUUGAAAAAGUUACUGAAGGGAUAACAGCAUAAUAUAUUUAUAUAGUUCGUAUUUAAAAAUUAGUUUAUGACCUCGAUGUUGAAUUAUUUUACUUUUAAGCGCAAGAGUCUAAAAAGUAGGUCUGUUCGACCUUUAAAUAUUUACAUGAUCUGAGUCAAAA